CCAAGACCUGACCUGAGAUCAAGAGUUGGACACUUAACUGACUGAACCACCCAGGCACCCCAAGGCAUUUGAAGCCAAGACCGAAUCCUGCUUGCCCCAGGAGAAGGGCGGAUCAGCAAUGUGCAGUGUGAGUCCUGUUCUGGCCUGGGUCGGCCCCUGCAUUUCUGGAGAAAUGAAUCCGUGUUCAACAGGAAGAUCAAGAGAAUGAGACAGAGAAAACAUCUACAAAGAUGAUGAAAGCAAGGCUCCGAGAGCCCGUCUGAGAUCUCCCAGCAGCAGCAGCAGCAGGGCAGAAAUGCACGCCCAGGUCUGUCUGAUCGCAGAAGCCACGUGUUUGCCUUCAUGCCAGUGUCUCUCAACAGAUUCAGCACCAUUUAAACUGGUAGGCUUCACGACCAGCAUGGAGCCAGUGUAAGGCUUGAACUCAUGAUCCUGACAUUAAGACCUGAGCUGAGAUUGAGUUGGACGCUUAACUGACUUGAGCCACGGAGGCGCCCUGAAAAUAUCUGUUCUAAAAUUAGAAAAACAGGUCAACAUGGCUCAACUCCAACUGCAGCUGAGAGCUUGAUAUAUUCCACAAAACAAUGAGAUCCAGUGGCCCCUGACCCCAAAACCAUCCAUCUUCUAGGAGUGAAAUUCUGGCUGCCCAGGAGUGAGGAUCCAGAGAGGGCUGGUCCAAAAGAUCUGCUCUGCAUGGCUCUGGAACUCCCAGCCAGGAGACGAUCUUCACGGGGCCAAAGUGGAAUCUCCGGGCAACGAAGACAUGACCUGUCCCCAGACUGAAGGCUGUAACUUUCCCCUGGUUUCAACCAGGUUAGGGCGAUUUUAAAUGACUCGUUUAAAGUUUUCAGAAAGCAAGCACUAUUUGGACUCACAGAAGCCAGGAGCGAUUUGUCUGGGUACCAAGGAAAGACUACUUGCCCACACACUGGUUCCACUGGUAGUGCUGGAGGUAGCCCUGGGGGCAGCUGCACCGGUAGCCCCCGAUGAUGUUCUGGCAGCCGUGCUGGCAGCGGUGGUUUCCUUCACACUCGUCCACAUCUGAAAAGGAAGGGAGAGCCGCCUUGAAGCCACGUCAACAUUUGUCUCCGAGUCGUUCUCUGAAGCAACAUUUAUAUGAGUGCCAAAUGGAGAGGCAAUUUUACCAAGAAAUCUGACCCCGAAAAGAUUAUUCUACCACCAGAAUGUCAAGACUAUGUGCUCCGGAGCUUUUGGUUAUGCUACUCAGCAGAAAAGCCUUGACUACUGAGGAAAGGCACAUGGUAUAGACAUGAUCAAGCCUGAGACAAAAGAUGGAUCUCUAAACUAUGACACCUGUGCCGACCCGGUGAAGUAUUUCCCACCUGCGGUCGGCUGUCCUCCCUGUGCUCUGUUCCGAGAUCUCACAGAGGAGGACGAAGAAGAGAGAAUGAAAGUCACCCAGCCUCCCUCCCCCAGGACCUAGCAGCUGCAUCAGGCUGCGGACCCCACCCACCUUC